rnacentral:rRNA from 1 species
CCUACGGGGGGCAGCAGUGAGGAAUUUUCGUCAAUGGGGGAAACCCUGAACGAGCAACGCCGCGUGCAGGAUGACGGCCUUCGGGUUGUAAACUGCUUUUCUCUGGGACGAGUAAGGACGGUACCAGAGGAAGAAGCCUCGGCUAACUACGUGCCAGCAGCCGCGGUAAUACGUAGGAGGCGAGCGUUGUCCGGAGUUACUGGGCGUAAAGCGUCCGCAGGCGGUCUUUUAAGUUUGGGGUGACAGUUCCUGGCUCAACUGGGAAAGUGCUUCGAAAACU